rnacentral:rRNA from 1 species
AGUAAAAGUCGUAACAAGGUUUCCGUAGGUGAACCUGCGGAAGGAUCAUUAACGAGUUGAACGGGGUUGUAGCUGGCCUUCACGGGCAUGUGCACACCUCACUCAUCCACUCUACACCUGUGCACUUACUGUGGGUUUCGAGAGGCCGCACUUGCGUGGUUGAUCGGGCUCACGUCUAUUACAAACUCUUCAGUAUCAGAAUGUGUAUCGCGAUGUAACGCAUCUAUAUACAACUUUCAGCAACGGAUCUCUUGGCUCUCGCAUCGAUGAAGAACGCAGCGAAAUGCGAUAAGUAAUGUGAAUUGCAGAAUUCAGUGAAUCAUCGAAUCUUUGAACGCACCUUGCGCUCCUUGGUAUUCCGAGGAGCAUGCCUGUUUGAGUGUCGUGUAAUUCUCAACCUAUAAAUCCUUGUGGUUUUUAGGCUUGGACUUGGAGGCUUUUGCUGGCUUUACCGUCGGCUCCUCUUAAGCGCAUUAGCUUGAUUCCUUGCGGAUCGGCUCUCAGUGUGAUAAUUAUCUGCGCUGUGACCGUGAAGCGUUUGGCGAGCUUCUAACCGUCUCUUCGAGACAAACACUUUGACAUCUGACCUCAAAUCAGGUAGGACUACCCGCUGAACUUAAGCAUAUCAAUAAGCGGAGGA